ACUGUGUUCAAAACUGUUAUGCAUGCUCGAGUAUAAAAAGCUGUUGAAUUGUAUUUUUUCUUUACUUUCACAUACACUGUGUUCACAGAAACAGUGCUCAGAUCUUGUCCCCUAGACCUUGGAGGACUUUUGGUGUGGAUGAUGUUCAGGUUAGAUAUUUCUUUAAAUGAUUCCACUGAACUGUACCAUUUGAUUGUCAUUCCUUUAUAGAAAAUUGUACCUUGUUCACACCACAGGGCCUACCAAAGCCAGGUUUCUCAAACAACUGUGGGGUGUUUGUUUUGAUGGUAAGAUGCUGGUUGUUCAGUAUAUUCUAAUUAGUCCUAUUUUCUGUUAUACCAUAUGAUUAUUAUUAUUAUUAUUUCUGUGCUGGCAGCAUGCAAAGCACACAAUUGUUAUUGCUCAUACUUUUCUUGUUUAUUAUUCUUGACACUUUUUGGGACCUAUUUCAUACAGUUUUUACAUUGCAUACACAAUUCAUACAUCAAACUCCUGCAGUGCUGGAUGCUGAUGUGACAUGCUGUGACUUCUUGGCGGGGGAUGUUUUCGACAUACUGAAAUAUAUUCCUGGGGGAGCACGCUCUGUAAAUUGCAAUGGAAGCAGUGUGAUUUCACUGAGGAUGAUGUAG
rnacentral:lncRNA from 8 species